rnacentral:lncRNA from 1 species
AGUAGGAGAACCGAUCAAGAGAAUAGAGAAGGAUGAAGGAUGGAUGGAAAUGAGGAAAAGAGGGUUUAGGGAUGAUUGUCAUGGAUUUUGCAAGUUAGAGCUUGAGAUUUGAUGGAGAGUAAGAGAGUAUAUCAAGAGAGAGAGUUUGCUCUAGGAUUUGAGAUGGAGAUCCAAGAUUUUGGAUGGAUUUGAGGUCGGUGG